rnacentral:misc_RNA from 1 species
AUAAUGGGAAUUUCUGCUUCCAGAUGCUCCAUAUCUUGAACCUUAAUAUUUGUAAAAGUAAGAUGUUUGAAAAAUAAGCUUAACUCAGUUAAUUCUUGCCAAACUGUAUUCGGAAGGAGCUCAUGAAAUGCAAUGGGUAUAACCUCUGCAUAAAUACAUGACAAUCAUGGCUCUUCAUGCCAAAAUGCUUGCACUUCUGCAUAUCAACACACCUUUCUAGGUGGACACAUACCCAUAUGGAAACUUAAGGUUUUUUACCCAUUCACAUAUAACAUGCCUCUGCUGUUUAUCAAGAACAUAGCAAGCCUUAGGAUAUUUACCCAUUUGCACAUUUCUCUCCAAUUCUUUUCUACGAUAUAAAUGUGCCAUAUCUUCCCUAAAUUUUGCAUUAUCCUUUGUUUUCCCUUCUAUAUUCAUCGUGUUGAAAGUAUUUUCAAAGAUAUUUUUCUUGAUGUCCAUGACAUCUAAGUUAUUUCGAAUGAGAAUGAAAGACCAAUAUGGUAAAUUCCAAAAAUAUGCUCUUUUUCUGCCAACCUGUGUUUCUGGUUAUGACAGAAUUGACUGCUUCACCAUCAAUGUCUGUUACUCUCCUUAACCCCAAAUCCUCUAUCUGCAAAAAAAUGUCUUCACUGCUUAGAAUUGGAGACUCAAAUAUGCAUACUUUUCCUUUAAGGAAAUUUACCUUGUUCUAUCUAAAUAGAUGGUUAUCUGAAAGAAACUUACAGUGAUUGUCAAACCAACUAAUUUUCUCUCCAUGACUCAGUGAAAAUGCAUCUGAAUGAUCCAUACAGUAAGGGCACGCUAAUCUCCCUGCGGUGCUCCACCCAGCAGUGUUAUCAAAGGCGACAGAGGAGCCCAGGUGAGGCGUCAGGCGUGGCGAGGCGCCCCUCUGUCGCCUCAACUGGAACGCCUGACUCGGCUUGGAGGAGGCGACGCCUUCGGACGGAGAGGCGAGAGGCGAGGCAGGC